AUUGAACGCUGGCGGCAGGCCUAACACAUGCAAGUCGAGCGGAUGAAGGGAGCUUGCUCCUGGAUUCAGCGGCGGACGGGUGAGUAAUGCCUAGGAAUCUGCCUGGUAGUGGGGGAUAACGUCCGGAAACGGGCGCUAAUACCGCAUACGUCCUGAGGGAGAAAGUGGGGGAUCUUCGGACCUAACCCUAUCAAAUGACCCUAGGUCGGAUUAGCUAGUUGGUGGGGUAAAGGCCUACCAAGGCGACGAUCCGUAACUGGUCUGAGAGGAUGAUCAGUCACACUGGAACUGAGACACGGUCCAGACUCCUACGGGAGGCAGCAGUGGGGAAUAUUGGACAAUGGGCGAAAGCCUGAUCCAGCCAUGCCGCGUGUGUGAAGAAGGUCUUCGGAUUGUAAAGCACUUUAAGUUGGGAGGAAGGGCAGUAAGUUAAUACCUUGCUGUUUUGACGUUACCAACAGAAUAAGCACCGGCUAACUUCGUG
rnacentral:rRNA from 1 species